UGUCGUGAGAUGUUGGGUUAAGUCCCGCAACGAGCGCAACCCCUAUCUUCAGUAGCCAGCAUUUUGGAUGGGCACUCUGGAGAGACUGCCAGGGACAACCUGGAGGAAGGUGGGGAUGACGUCAAAUCAUCAUGCCCCUUAUGGCCAGGGCUACACACGUGCUACAAUGGCGUAAACAAAGGGAAGCAGCCGUGUGAAUGUGAGCAAAUCCCAAAAAUAACGUCUCAGUUCGGAUUGUAGUCUGCAACUCGACUACAUGAAGCUGGAAUCGCUAGUAAUCGCGAAUCAGAAUGUCGCGGUGAAUACGUUCCCGGGUCUUGUACACACCGCCCGUCACACCAUGGGAGUCAGUAACGCCCGAAGCCGGUGACCUAACCGAAAGGGAGGAGCCGUCGAAGGUGGGACCGAUAACUGGGGUGAAGUCGUAACAAGGUAGCCGUAUCGGAAGGUGCGGCUGGAUCACCUC
rnacentral:rRNA from 1 species